UCAAGCGUUUAAGGGCGUGUAGUGGAUGCCUUGGCACUGAAAGCCGAUGAAGGACGUGAUAUACUGCGAUAAGUUUCGGGGAGCUGUAUGUAAGUUUUGAUCCGAAAAUUUCCGAAUGGGGAAACCCACCACUUUAUGUGGUACUUUAAACUGAAUACAUAGGUUUAAAGAGACAACCUGGAGAACUGAAACAUCUAAGUAACCAGAGGAAAAGAAAUCAAUUGAGAUUCCGUUAGUAGUGGCGAGCGAACGCGGACUAGGCCAGUAGUUUUGUUAAAAAAAUUUGAAUAGUUUGGAAAUGCUAACCAUAGAGGGUGAUAGUCCCGUAUGAGUAAUGUUUAACAAAAUUCUUGAGUAAAGCGGGACACGAGAAAUCCUGCUCGAAUAUAGGGGGACCACCCUCUAAGCCUAAAUACUCUUCAGUGACCGAUAGUGAACUAGUACCGUGAGGGAAAGGUGAAAAGAACCCCUAUUAGGGGAGUGAAAUAGAACCUGAAACUGCAUGCCUACAAUCAGUCGAAGCUCUUUUUAGAGUGACGGCGUACCUUUUGUAUAAUGGGUCAGUGACUUAAUUUAUUAAGCAAGCUUAAGCCAUCUAGGUGUAGGCGCAGCGAAAGCAAGUCUUAAUAGGGCGAUUAGUUUAAUGAAUUAGACCCGAAAACGAAUGAGCUUACCAUGAGCAGGUUGAAAGUUGGGUAACACCAACCGGAGGACCGAACCAGUUGACGUUGAAAAGUCUUUGGAUGACUUGUGGUAAGGGGUGAAAGGCCAACCAAAUUCGUAGAUAGCUGGUUUUCCGCGAAAACUAUUUAGGUAGUGCGUUGAAUAAAUAGAUGUUUAGAGGUAGAGCACUAAAUGGGCUAGGGGGAAGAGAUUCUUACCAAACCUAAUAAAACUCCGAAUGCUAGACAUUGUUCUUCAACAGACAGACUGUGGGUGCUAAGGUCCAUGGUCGAGAGGGAAAGAGCCCAGACCACCAGAUAAGGUCCCCAAAUUAUGAUUAAGUGUGAAAGGAUGUGGAAAUUCCUUAACAGCCGGGAGGUUGGCUUAGAAGCAGCCAUCCUUUAAAGAUAGCGUAACAGCUCACCGGUCUAAUAGAGUUUCUGCGCCGAAGAUGUAACGGGGCUAAAAUCAUAUACCGAAUCUGUGGGUUUAUAAAACUUUCGAGUUUUAUAAGCGGUAGCGGAACGUUCUGUAAGCCUGUGAAGGGAUACCCGUGAGGGAUCCUGGAGGUAUCAGAAGUGCGAAUGCUGACAUAAGUAACGAUAAAAGAAGUGAAAAACUUCUUCGCCGAAAAUCCAAGGGUUUCUGCGCAAGGUUAAUCCGCGCAGAGUUAGUCGGCACCUAAGGCGAGGGCGAAAGCCGUAGUCGAUGGAAAUAAGGUUAAUAUUCCUUAACCAGAUGGUAGUGACGAAUCUUGUAAGUUGUGAGUUCUUAAUGGAUUGAACUUGCCGCGAAAAGGUUCCAAGAAAUAGCUCCAUCAUUAGACCGUACCCUAAACCGACACAGGUGGAUUAAUAGAGUAUAUUUAGGCGCUUGAGAGAAUGAUGUUGAAGGAACUCGGCAAAAUGCUUCCGUAACUUCGGGAUAAGGAAGACCUGUUUUUAGGCAACUAGAGAUGGGUGGCACAAGCCAGGGAGAAGCGACUGUUUAUCAAAAACACAGGGCUCUGCUAACACGUAAGUGGAUGUAUAGGGUCUGACGCCUGCCCGGUGCUGGAAGGUUAAUGCGGUUGGUGCAAGCUAACUUCUGAAGCCCCAGUAAACGGCGGCCGUAACUAUAACGGUCCUAAGGUAGCGAAAUUCCUUGUCGGGU
rnacentral:rRNA from 1 species